AAUGAACGUUGGCGGCGUGGAUUAGGCAUGCAAGUCGAGCGAGAAUCGGUCUUCGGACUGAGGACAGCGGCGAACGGGGUAGGAAUACCUCGGUGACGUACCCCCCGGUCGGGGAUAGCGGCGGGAAACUGCCGGUAAUACCCGAUGAUCUUCCCAGGUUUUACGACAGGGGAAGCAAAGGUGUGAUUCCGUCGGGGGAGCGGCCGAGGUCGUAUUAGCUGGUUGGUAGGGUAACGGCCUACCAAGGCGAUGAUGCGUCGGGGGUGUGAGAGCAUGGCCCCCACCACUGGGACUGAGACACUGGCCAGACACCUACGGGUGGCUGCAGUCGAGAAUCUUCGGCAAUGGGCGCAAGCCUGACCGAGCGACGCCGCGUGCGGGAUGAAGGUCUUCGGAUUGUAAACCGCUGUCGGAGGGGAUGAAAUGCAUGGGGGUACUCCCCUGUGUUUGACAGAGCCUCGGAGGAAGCACGGGCUAAGUUCGUGCCAGCAGCCGCGGUAACAC
rnacentral:rRNA from 1 species